GCCGGGUGCGGUGGCGCGCGCCUGUAAUCCAAGUUACCGGGAGGCUGAGGCUGGAGGAGCGUUUGAGCUCAGGAGCUCUGGGCUGCAGCGGACUAUGUCGAUCGGGUGUCCGCGCUAAGUUCGGUAUCGAUAUGGUGCUCCGGGGGGAGCCCGGGAUCACCAGGUCGUCUAAGGAGGGGUGCACCGGCCCAGGUCGGACACGGAGCAGGUCAAAGCCCCCGUGCCGCUCAGUAGUGGGAUCGCGCCCGUGAAUAGACGCUGUAGUUCAGCCUGAGUAAGACAGCGGGACCCAGUCUUUA
rnacentral:SRP_RNA from 1 species